rnacentral:lncRNA from 10 species
CGCACACACACAGAGAGAGACACCAGUGGUCCCCUGAGUAGAUGGGUCGAGCAAAACAGUUAUACAGUGCAGGUUACAAAAGUCUAAUGCACUUAGCUAAUGCAAAUCCUGAAGUGCUCGUAAGGACAAUUGAUCAUUUAUCAAGACGCCAAGCCAAGCAAAUUGUUUCAUCAGCAAAGAUGCUGUUGCAUGAAAAAGCAGAAGCCCUGCAAGAAGAGGUAGAAGAGUUACUAAGAUUGCCUUCUGAUUUCCCUGGUGCUGUGGCUUCUUCCACUGACAAAGCAUGAAGCUAUCUGAUGAGAAUUUU